rnacentral:rRNA from 1 species
CCUACGGGGGGCAGCAGUGAGGAAUAUUGGUCAAUGGGCUUACGCCUGAACCAGCCAAGUCGCGUGAGGGAAGACUGCCCUAUGGGUUGUAAACCUCUUUUGUCAGGGAGCAACGCCGGCUACGUGUAGCCGGACUGAGAGUACCUGAAGAAAAAGCAUCGGCUAACUCCGUGCCAGCAGCCGCGGUAAUACGGAGGAUGCGAGCGUUAUCCGGAUUGAUUGGGUUUAAAGGGUGCGUAGGCGGAAUGCCAAGUCAGCGGUAAAAUCGCGGGGCUCAACCUCGCUCCGCCGUUGACACUGGCGUUCUUGAGUGGGCGAGAAGUAUGCGGAAUGCGUGGUGUAGCGGUGAAAUGCAUAGAUAUCACGCAGAACUCCGAUUGCGAAGGCAGCAUACCGGCGCCCAAUUGACGCUGAAGCACGAAAGCGUGGGUAUCGAACAGGAUUAGAUACCCUGGUAGUC